rnacentral:ncRNA from 1 species
GUUUGCCAGAAAUCCACGGGUAAGCAGAUUUGCAUUGAUUCAGGUUAUACAAAUG